AUUAGGGUGGCAGAGCCAGGAAAUUGCGUAAGACUUAAAACCUUGUCCCCGGAGGUUCAAAUCCUCCCCCUAAUA
rnacentral:tRNA from 2 species